rnacentral:rRNA from 1 species
UACGUAGGGCGCAAGCGUUGUCCGGAAUUAUUGGGCGUAAAGAGCUCGUAGGCGGUCUGUUACGUCCGCUGUGAAAACCCAGGGCUUAACCCUGGGCUUGCAGUGGAUACGGGUAGACUAGAGGCAGGUAGGGGAGAAUGGAAUUCCCGGUGUAGCGGUGAAAUGCGCAGAUAUCGGGAGGAACACCGGUGGCGAAGGCGGUUCUCUGGGCCUGACCUGACGCUGAGGUGCGAAAGCGUGGGGAGCAAACAGG